rnacentral:lncRNA from 1 species
AGAGAUUCCUCAGUUGCCUUGGUAUCGGAAAACACUUCCUCAGAUGGCCAUGGCAGGAUUCUUGCCUUUUAGUGCAAUAUAUAUCGAACUUUACUACAUAUUUGCCAGUGUUUGGGGUCACAGGAUCUACACCAUAUACAGCAUCUUGUUCAUUGUCUUCAUCAUUCUCUUGAUUGUCACUGCUUUUAUAACAGUGGCGUUGACAUAUUUCCAACUUGCUGCUGAAGACCAUGAGUGGUGGUGGAGGUAUGUUUUGCUAUUAGAUUGAUAUAAAGUUAACACGUCUGAGGUUUUUUAUUCAUUUCCAAUCAUUAUUAUCUCAAAAAAUAUACACGUUCAGCCACAGAAAAAACAUUCUUUAAUGUUUUUUCUAAAUUUGAGUUAAAUUUUGGAUUUUUUUUUUAUUAUGUUUCUCACUCUUGAGAUCUAAAUUGCUGGAAAUAUUCAAGCCAUAACGUGAAUUUUGGCUUUAUGCCCUCUCCAAGCUUGCUUCCUUUUAUCCUCAGCAUGUGCUUGUAUUUUCUGUAAGAAGUCAUGCUUUAAAACGAUACUUGAUUGCCUGAUACAUGUUUCUAGACGCUCACAUUUAUAUAUUUGGUGUUUCAUAGGUCUUUCCUCUGUGGUGGAUCAACUGGCCUGUUCAUUUAUGGCUAUUGCUUGUAUUACUACUAUGCCAGAUCAGAUAUGUCCGGCUUCAUGCAAACCUCAUUUUUCUUUGGCUACAUGGCCUGUGUUUGUUACGGUUUCUUCCUCAUGCUUGGCAGUAUUGGGUUCCGUGCUUCCUUGUUCUUUGUCCGCCACAUCUACCGUUCAAUCAAGUGCGAGUAGGAAGUCAUAUGGUCUUCCUUAUGUUCAGUGAGUAGGCUGCCAUCCUUUCUUUGAAUACACUUAAUUGAAGGCAACUCUGCGUGUUUGUAUUGAUGAAGGUGGUCUUAUAAUGUGCCUUGUUACAGGAGAAGCCACAGUUGGCUGGGAAAACUUGUUCUGGGAUCGCAGGAGCUUUAUGCUACUCAUGGAGGAUGAUGGCACGUUCCGUGGAGGACUUCUGUAAUAACCCUUUUUUUAUAGGAGAGGAACAUGUAGGGCUUUAGAAUGCUGUUAAAGAAUUUGCAGUGCUUCAAUGUGAGAUAAUCCAUCAUUUUGAAUGUAUUCUAUCACUGUUAGAAGCCGUAGAGUUUGUGUUACUGGUAGCAGUACUUCGAAAAUUCUUGUCUCCACAAUUUAUUAUAGUUGCAAAAUACAUGUUCUGUCAUUUAUUAUCAUAGGCUGGACUAGAAAACUUGAGUAUGAGGAUCGUCUGUUUUGUCUUUUGUUCUAGGGGAAACAUGGCUGUUCAUUUUUCUAAUUUCACUAUUUUUGUUUCAAUUUAAUGAUCCAAAUUAGCUGAGAAGAAAAAUCAAGGUAGCAUCUGGAUGUAAUCAAAAGAGAUGAAUGAAGGUCGUGGAGGCUGAGAGGACAUGUGAGGUAGAUGGAAGCAUAACAGGACAAUAACAAGCCUAGAAUGACAGAAGUUAGGCCGAAUUAGGGUUAAACACAAACUUUAAAAUUUUAUUUUAUUUCUCAAUUAAUAAGUCUGCUAAAGAAGUUUGUAGUGCUUUUUAUAGGUUAGAAAAAUCGAUAUGGACUAGGAAACAAGAGUUGGAAUCCUUAGAUACAAAGAAAAAUAGCAUAAAAUCUUAAAUAAAUAAUAAAAACAAAAAUAUUUAGAAAAAAUAACAAAAUUAGCCUAGCAUUGAUAAGUCACCCAAAUACUUUGUAUAUGAAAACUGCUUGUAAAUCUAAGUUUGAUUGAACGGGUCAAAUUUCUUGUUAUCAUAGUUUUAAAUUAUUAUUCUAAUCUAGUAUAAUCAAGUCUUUAUUUUUAAUCUAAACUUGUUUCAAUACUUGAUAAAAACAUAUAUUAGAUCAGUUACAUGGUAUAUUUGCAUCAAAAUGUUUUCCUGUGUUUUUUUUUAAUUAUAAAAAAUUAUUUUAAAACUAAACAUAAUUAUUUUAUGUUUUAGCAGACUUUUCAACAUAAAUUUCUCAAGAUAGUCAAUUUUCUUCGAUUAUUGCAGUUCUCUUUUGCCUAUUUUAGUAGGAUAAAGACUUUUGAUAUUAUGUUAAUGAAAGCUUAGGUCAAAGGGACAGAUCACCAUUUGAUGGUGAUUGAGGCAAAUACAUUAUCCUUUUUUCUUUUUUCUUUUAUUUUUUGCGAGGCAAACUCAGGGUAAAAUGGGGUAUGGCAAUUAAAGCAAGCCUUUUCUUUUAUUUUAACCCCCCCCCCCCCCCCCCCCCCCCCCCCCCCGGUUUUCUUGGUCAGUUAGCCAUAUUUCAUCAUAUGCAUAUUUUAACAGAAAAGUAUGGUCGGUUCUAAGACCAACAAAAACAUUGCAAUAAGAUUUAAACAUAGCAUCAACUUCUAUCUAUUUGUAAGAGAAAAUUAUUUGUUAUUUAGAAAAUUAGAAACAAGAUAAAAAAAAAUACCUAAGCAAAUAUAAUUGCUUAUUACAACAUUUCGGUUUUGCUAUUAGAUUUGAAUUUAAUUGAUUAUUUUCAUUACUUUAAUUAACUUUAAUAAUACAUCAUUGAUCAAACGUUCGAGUCUCAUAUAAUCAACGGGUUAUUAUUAUUAUUUUAUUCAAAUCUAAUAAUAUAUCAUUAAUCAUUCAAACUAUAAUUUCAAAAAACAAAAAGAUAUUAUUUUUUUAUAUUAAAAACAAAAACUGGUUCAAAGUAAAACAUGUCUCCAAUUAAAUUCUAGUUCGGCAAAUUUAUUAUUGAAUUGCCUUGUUAAAUAGAGUUUUAUAACUAUAUUUAACACUAGUCAUCAAAUAGUUGAAUAGUGAGGGGGGAAAUUAUAAACUGAAAUCAGUUUUGACUAAUAAACAGGCAUCACAGGACAUGGAUUACGAUUCAAAUAAAAAUAAGAACAGAUUAGAAAUUAAAAGACUGGAUCAAACCUUCAUCAAAUAGCUACUAACAAGGUCGCUUGCGUUCUUAACACACAAAGUGAUUUCUUUCCUUCUUUUUUUAGUCUUUUGACCUGACCUCCAUGCUUCAACUACAUGGAAAAUAGCCACAACAACCACACCAUGGAAAAGAUAGCAGAUCAAAGUGAAAGCAAUGUACCACAGAAGCUAGCACAGACCUCAGAAUUAACCACAAGUAGAUGGCAUGCCAAUUUCGAUAUCUAGGGUUGUUGGGUUGUGAAGUUGUAAUCCUUGGCAUCCAAGCAAUCACUCGCCUUCCAAGUUUGGAGUGUUCCUUCCAUUUCACUCUUCUUAUGUCUAUGCUGAGAUCUAAUCUAAGUGAAGUCAACCUUCUUCUUCAUAUUCGAAGGAUAUAAUUUAUUGCCAUGCAUUGGAAAGAUGGGCCUAGCUUUAUUUUAUUUUAAAUUGAUCUCAUAUACUAUCAAGUCACAAAGCAAAGAUAUAACUAGAUUAUUGACUCAAUUUUUUUUAAUAAAAGAAUUUAUUCAAGCGUUAUUAACAUGUUUUCUAAUAAAAAAAAUUUAAUCAUAAACUCAAAAUAUAAUGUAUAUUGGACAAUAUUUUUUUUAAAAAAUUGAUAUGAUAAUAUAUUAGAUGGAAUUGUUUUUUAAAAAAAUAUUGAGAAUACAACAUAUUAGAUUGACUCGGGAUAACUUAUCAAAUUUAUAACUCGGGUCAUAAGACCAUGAUAACCCUAUAAAAAAAUCAAAAUAAAUUAUGAAGGUCAAUUCCUAAUCAAUCCAAUGUUAAAAGGCAAAAUUGAAAAAUAAAAUAUUAAAUUAAAAAAAAGAAAAAAAAUACCCAAGUAAACUCAGGUUAACCUACCAAACUUACAACUUGAGUCAUGAGAUGAGAUAACCCCAUAAAAAAUAAAUCAAAAAAAUUAAAAAAAUCAAUUUCCAACCAAACCUAUAUUGAAGUAUGAAAUUGAAAAAAAAAAUCAAUUAAAAAAAACAAAAACUAAGUCAACAUCAACUAACCUGUUAAACUCGCCACCUAAGUCAUAAGAUUGAAAUAAAUUCAUAAAAAGAAAAUAAAAAAAAUGUGAAGCUCCAUUUCUAACGGAUCUAAUAUUCAAGAUUGAAAUUGAGAAAAAUAAAUAAUGAGACUAUAAUAACUCCACUGAAAACAAAUUAAAAAAAAAUUAUGAAACUUAAUUCUCAAGCAAUAUAAUAUUAAAAGAUAGAAUUAAAAACAUAACUAAAUAGAUCUAAAAUUAAAUGUUGAAAUCGAGAAGAAGAAAAACUAGAUUCGUGAGAUUAAUAUAUAACCCAACAGAAAAUAAAUAAAUAGAAAAUUAUAAAACACAAUUCCUAAAACAAUUAAAUAUUAAAUGAUAAAAUUAAAAAGAAAAAAACUAAAUAAAAAAAGAACAAGAAGAUUGGAUUGUUGAAAGGUUAAAUUGAAGAAAAAAAGAUAAACAGAAAAAGCAAAAAAAAUAUGCAAAACACUAUUUUAAUUAAUAAUGUUUUGUAGAUGUGACUAUAGUAAUUAGUCAUACUUCCUAGUGUUUUGUUAAUAAAAAGAGGUGGAAUGAGGAAUUCAUAAAUGAGGGUUGAAAUAAAAUAAAUAAAUUAUCAUGAUUAAUUUCAAAAUAAGGGAUGCAUUAGGAUUUUUAGAAAAGUUAUUUAUUUUCUUAAUUUUUUUCUAUUUAGUUUAUAAAAGUAAGUAUUAUGCUUAAUAAUUUUAUUUUUUUCUUAGUUAGUUUAAAACUUUUAUUGUUUUUCCUUUAUCUUUGAGUUUUAUAGUUUUUUGAGGUUAGUUUUUGGAUUUUAUAUAAGAAGUUGUAAGUCUCUUGGAGAGGUAAACUAUUUAAAAACAAAUAUUCAGUAAUAAGAUUGCGAGUUAGGGUUUCUUUGUGAUCCCUUCUUUUGAGAAUUAUAUGUUUUUUUGUGCUUAUUGUAUUUUUUGUAUUGUUUCCUUCCGUGUCAAUUGGUAUUAGAGUCCAAUGAUCCCAAUAAUUAUUUUCUUGUUUGUGCUGGAUUAACAUGGAUGGAAGAGAUAUUAGAACAAGAUAUGCUUAUAUAUAUAUAUAUAUAUAUAUAUAUAUAUAUAUAUAAGGGGAUGAAAAAAGAAAUAUUCAAAAACCAGUGAUAGGCGAUAUAUUGAAAAAUUGGAAGGAGGUGUUUAGGAUAUGGUGAUAGAAAACAUAUAGAGACAGAUUGCAAAAUCAACUCGUUUAUUGGAGGAGGUGAGGAGCCUGAAAGAUCGUGAAGAGAGUGAUUGUUGAUCCAUGUCUAAUUUUGAGAACCAUUUUAGAGGCUUGAACAGAGAAAACAACUUAUUAAUCUGGAUGAGAAUAAUUCGUAGUUCUCUUGUGAAUUGAAAUCAAACAUCAAAUUUUAAUGAGAAUGUUAAAGGUGAUGUUGAAGGAUGUGCAUCAAAUUUGAUCGAGGAGAACUUUAGAAUUGAUGAGAUAAAAGAUGAUGUUAUUGUAUUUUGAUAAAAGUUGUGAGACAUGUUUUCAAAUCUUCUCCUAAUGCUAAAAAUGGUCCCAUUAUUAGGGAAGCUAAGCAUAUUGAUAUGAUGUUUUUAGCAAAAAGAUCAAGCACGUAAAUAUUGGAAACUCUUGAUUGAAUAUCCACAAGAUCGAGACAAAACACAAAUUAAACUCGAGGAGGAGUUUUUUUCAAUCUAGAAAGACUGAUAUAGAAUGAUUUUUUAAAAUUUUUUUUCUUGGUUUUUUUUUAAUUUUUUCAUGUUUAGUUUAUAAUAUUAAAUAUUAUGAUUAAUGAUUUUAUUUUUUGUAAUGUGUUUGUGAUUUUUAUUUCUUUUUCUUUAUUUCCAGGUUUUCUAUUUUGUUUAGAUUAUUUUUUGAGUUUAUUUAAAGAAUUGUAAAUCUUUUAGAGGGGUAGACUAUUCAAAAAAAAAAAUUCAAUAAUAAGAUUGUUAAUUAGGAUUUAUGUGUAAUCCAUUGUUUUGAAAUUUUGUGUUUUUGUAUUUAUUAUCUUUUUUUUAUAUUAUUUCUGUAUUAGUCAAUAAGUUAAAGUUAUAAACACUAAAAUAAAAAAAAUAAUUUUUGAGGGAUGCUAAAUACCAAAUUAUUUUGAAAAAUAAAGGCUGUUCGGUAUCAUUCAUGUUUUCAAAAACCAAAAUUUAAAAUUCUUUUCCCUUUGUUUUUUUUUUAAAUAAAAUUUCUAUAAUUUUGACGAAGCUUGCUGGUUUUGCAUUUUAAAAAAAAUUAAUUAAUUUUUUGUUUGAAGAUAGAACAAAAAAAAACAGUAAUAUUAAAAUAAUAGUUGAUUAUUGUUUUGAAACAGAAAAAAUAAAAAUACAAAUAAAAAAGACAUGUUAUUUUAUACCUCAUGUUUUAAUAAUGUAUAAAUUUAUUCUAAAAAUUAUUUAUUUUAUGUACUUGUUUUUAUUUCUCUAAUAAAAUAUGUUUUUAUCUUUUUAUAUUUAUUUAUUCUAUUCUAGGAUAUUAACAAGAUGAAACUCAAAUAAAAUCAAACAACAUCAAUUUAUGAGUUAAAGCUGAAAAUUCUCAAAACUUCUAGGAUUGCGCAUGGACUUCCAAAGCAAAACCUCGUUUAUCGUGGUCAUAAUUUUUUUUUUCAUGAACGCAUUUAAAAAUAAAAAUAAUUUUUUUUUAAUUACUCUCCUAAUCUCUUUCUCGUUAUUUGAGGAAGGCCUCAUUUUUUACACGAACCAUUUUAGAUUUGUUGGAGCCACAACCCAUAAAGUCUCCAUCUUUAUAAAUCUCUCUCCUCUCUCUCUCACCCCAUAACUAUCUUACUCUCUCUUCUCUUUUUGUGAGUUACAGUAAUUGAAAAUGGAGAAGAAACUAGUGCCUUGUUUGGUUUCAUUUGUUUUGAUAUUGUGCAGCGUGUCCCAUGUUAGAUCAGAUGCAUCUGAUCAUCGUUACAAAGUUGGAGAUGAUGUCCCUCUCUAUGUUAACAAGGUUGGACCUUUUCACAAUCCCAGGUAAUCCAAUUCUCGAUCUUUCUUGCUGUUUUGAUUAGGUUAAGGUUAUUGGUUUUGUGGGGUGUCUUCAAGUUUGGGACUUUUGAUGAUUUGGGAAGUUGGGGUAUGUGGGAUAUGGAUUAGAAAUGGAAUUGUGGAGUUGGGUUUUGGAGAAUUUGAUUUUAGCAUUAAUGUGUCAGAUUCUGUAGAAUCCAUUUUUUUUUGGUUUUAUGGAUUGGUUUCUUCAAUUGUUGUGGAUCUGAGCUUAUGGGAAGUGGAUCUUAUGAUUUGGUUUCCUAAAAAGGAAGAUCAAAGAUUGGAACUUGGAGUUUAACAUGAAAAUGCUGUUGAUGUCACUUAGUUGCUAAUUAAGUUGGAAAUUUAGCAUAGCUUAAUGGUUGUACAAGCAGUUGGUCUAGUGGAUCCCUGGGGAGAUAGUUUAGGAAAUGCUUAAUGGGAUUUUGGAAUGCAAGCUUUUGGAUAGAAACAUUUGCAAGUAAGUAGAGUCCGUUAGUUAAAGCCCAGAAUAAUGUCCAGUGACUAGGUGUUGAUUUCUGUUUCUGGUUGUUUCUUGUGAGCUGGAAAAGUUUAAGUAUUGGGUUUUCGUUUGUUAUUGCUGAACUUGGAUCUCAGUUUUAGAUCUUUAAUCAGUCGCUGGAACUCUUUUUCUGUAAUCGUACAUGAAAUUAUGCCGGAACUUAAUUGAUAUCUACUGUGGUCAUCUCUAGACUUUUGGUUUUCAUUUUGAGACUUCAACUGUGAAAACUUUCGUUAGUAUUUUUUUUUAUUCAUAAUUGUUUCAUAUUGUUUCUUUCUUGUUCAUUCUGUCAGUGAAACAUACCGCUACUUUGAUCUGCCUUUCUGCUCAUCAGGUCUGCAUCAAUUCACAUUACUCCUACUAUACAGCUUUGUUUUAUUGUGGAAGUUUACUGACGAUGCUUAUUACAGGUCCUACAAAGGACAAGAAAGAAGCCCUUGGUGAAGUGUUGAAUGGGGAUCGUUUAGUCACUGCCCCAUACAAACUUGACUUUUUAAAUGACAAAGAUUCUGAAGUUGCAUGCAAAAACACGCUGACAAAGGAACAAGUUGCUCAGUUCCGAGAAGCAGUUUCCAAGGACUACUACUUCCAAAUGUAUUAUGAUGACUUGCCCAUUUGGGGUUUCUUAGGGAAAGUUGAUAAGGAACGCAAGAAUGACCCUAGUGAAUACAAAUAUUACCUGUUUAAGCAUCUUCACUUUACCAUCUUUUACAAUAAGUAUCGUGUCAUUGAGAUCUCUGCACAAUCUGAUCUGAACAAUGUUGUGGACCUUACUGAAGAUAAAGAAGUCAAUGUGGAGUUCAUGUAUUCAGUUAAAUGGAAGGAAACAGAUAUAACAUUUGAGAAAAGGAUGGACAAGUAUUCACAAUCUUCUUCACUUCCUCAUCACUUGGAAAUUCAUUGGUUCUCAAUUAUUAACUCAUGUGUGACAGUUCUCCUCUUGACUGGUUUUCUUGCCACAAUUCUCAUGCGAGUCCUGAAGAAUGAUUUUGUCAAGUGAGAAGAACAUUUCAAUGAAUAUGUUAUUAAAACAUGUCUGCUAUGUUGUUUAAACUGUCAUUUUCUUAUUUUUUGAUCUUCCCAUUUGUAAUAGAUAUGCUCAUGAUGAGGAGUCAGCUGAAGACCAAGAAGAGACUGGGUGGAAGUACAUCCAUGGUGAUGUAUUUAGAUAUCCGAAGUAUAAGUCUUUGCUUGCAGCAGCAGUUGGCUCUGGCACCCAGCUGUUUACCCUGUAAGUUCAACUUCAAAGCUGUGCUUUUGUUGGUUUUGUCUCAUCCAUUUUUUAAAGUUAUUCUGUUGCUUAGCAGUCUGCUAACUUUGCUUACAUAUGUGCAUUGGCAGCACAAUUUUCAUUUUCGUGCUUGCUCUAGUUGGUGUCUUUUAUCCUUAUAAUCGUGGAGCUCUAUUUACUGCACUGGUUGUCAUAUAUGCUCUGACAGCUGGGAUUGCAGGCUACACUGCAGCCUCUUUCUUUUGCCAACUGGAAGGAACAAAUUGGGUAACUUGUUAAGAAUUCCUUUUUCAUUGCCUUUUGCACUUAUCAUUGUCAUUGUUUGGUGUGUUCUAGACAAUUGUUGUUACUGUGUGUCUAAGGAUAUUGUAGUUGGUAUCAAAUUUGGUAAAUGGAUAUAUAGGAAUUCUCAGUGUUUCUUUGGAAUGUGUUUUGCUUUAAGAUAAAUGCUUGGUGAAAAUUGACUUUUGUCAGAAUCAAUUUGGUUUUGCUAUAAACACUUAGUGGAAAUUGGCUGAAACAUGGAAAUGGGGGUCAAAACCACCUUGUGUUUGGAUAAUGUUUUCCUCUCUUAUAAUAGCUGAACUAAUUGGGAUGCGAAAGAGAAGCUUUUCGAGAGAAAGCAGUGAAAGAAAACAAUGUGCUUGAAAGUUGGUGUUCUGCUUCCUGAAGGCUUGCACUACACUUGAAAAGCUAACCUGAGAAGACAAUAAAUUAGAGCUCAACUGUUCACAGUUGCUUCUAAUAAAUUUCCAUACAUUGAAACUAAGUAAUUGUAGAAUUGGAUACGAGUGCAAUUGACUAUUUUGUGCUGGUUGUGGCUUUCUGAAAAUUAGCAUGGUUUGCAUUCAUUAGUAUUAUGAUAGUGACGUUAAUUGAUCAUUAUUAGAAUGAUAUAAUCACUUUUCAGCAGCAUUGUUUGAAUCCAUGAUGUCUUAUGCUCUAUCAUUGCUGAACUUCUAGCUACUCUAGAAACUACCAUUCAACUCUGAGACAUGCUAGGCUAAGAAGUUCUGAAAUUCUGGUGUUGCAGGUCAGGAACUUGUUAUUAACUGGAGCCCUAUUUUGUGGACCCCUGUUUCUCACUUUCUGCUUUCUUAAUACCGUUGCAAUCACGUAUAGUGCCACUGCAGCAUUGCCAUUUGGAACAAUAGUGGUGAUAUUUCUUAUUUGGGCUCUGGUAACAACACCAUUGCUGGUACUGGGUGGGAUUGCAGGGAAGAAUAGCAAGGCUGAGUUUCAGGCUCCCGUCCGCACCACUAAAUAUCCCAGAGAGAUUCCUCAGUUGCCUUGGUAUCGGAAAACACUUCCUCAGAUGGCCAUGGCAGGAUUCUUGCCUUUCAGUGCAAUAUACAUUGAACUUUACUACAUAUUUGCCAGUGUUUGGGGUCACAGGAUCUACACCAUAUACAGCAUCUUGUUCAUUGUUUUCAUCAUUCUCUUGAUUGUCACUGCUUUUAUAACAGUGGCGUUGACAUAUUUCCAACUUGCUGCUGAAGACCAUGAGUGGUGGUGGAGGUAUGUUUUACUUUUUGAUAGAUAUAAUUUCAUGUGUAAAAUGCUAAUAUCUCUGAGCUUAUUGUUUCAAUUUUGCAUCAUUAUCAGCACAAAUAAAAUAUCUGGGAAGUUUUGCUCACAAAUAACAUUCUUUAGUUUUGUUUUUUCGUUUCCAACUUUUUGUGAAAUGGUAGCAGAUUGUGUUUUUUCAUUCUAUGUUUUCACUCUUGAGAUGUUAUUUAAAUUACUCGAAAUAUUCAAGUCACAGUAAUUUUUUCAUCAUCGGGUUCCUGUUAUGAAUUUUCCUGAUGUAACGGUCUCCUAGCUUGCUUUUUUUUUCAUCCAUUGCAUGAAUUUUCCUUGUGUUUUCUGAAGUGUCUUGUUUUAAAAGGAUAUCUGGUUGCCUGAUUCAUAAUUCUACACGCUCACCCCUCUGAAUUUGGUGUUGGUCAGGUCGUUCCUUUGUGGUGGAUCAACUGGAUUGUUCAUUUAUGGCUAUUGCUUGUAUUACUACUAUGCAAGAUCAGAUAUGUCAGGCUUCAUGCAAACCUCCUUUUUCUUUGGCUACAUGGCCUGUGUUUGCUAUGGUUUCUUCCUCAUGCUUGGCAGUAUUGGGUUCCGUGCCUCCUUGUUUUUUGUCCGGCACAUUUACCGUUCAAUCAAGUGCGAAUAGCAAGCCAUAUCAUCUUCAGUAUGUUC